GUUUUUAAGUUGUACAUUAUGCACAAUAGACAUUCCAUUACAUUCAGAGUGUGUAAAAGUUACUCGAAUACCAGGCCCGAUGAGGGGCCAUGCAAAGCGGUACUCAGAGUCAUAAGAUGCACAGGUGUGUGUGGAUUUGCGACUUGUACCGACACGUGCACAAUGUGGUCUCCCACCAGCACAGAACGGAACAAGCCGACUUUGAAGUUUCAUUAAUGAUCCUUCCGCAGGUUCACCUACGGAAA
rnacentral:misc_RNA from 1 species